rnacentral:rRNA from 1 species
UAGGGAAUCUUCCGCAAUGGGCGCAAGCCUGACGGAGCGACGCCGCGUGAGCGAAGAAGGCCUUCGGGUCGUAAAGCUCUGUUCUUGAGGAAGAAUAAGCCAGGGAGUGGAAAGCUCUGGUGAUGACUUACUCAAGGAGAAAGCUCCGGCUAACUACGUG